ACAUGCAAGUCGAGCGGCAGCGGGAAAGUAGCUUGCUACUUUUGCCGGCGAGCGGCGGACGGGUGAGUAAUGCCUGGGAAAUUGCCCAGUCGAGGGGGAUAACAGUUGGAAACGACUGCUAAUACCGCAUACGCCCUACGGGGGAAAGCAGGGGACCUUCGGGCCUUGCGCGAUUGGAUAUGCCCAGGUGGGAUUAGCUAGUUGGUGAGGUAAUGGCUCACCAAGGCGACGAUCCCUAGCUGGUCUGAGAGGAUGAUCAGCCACACUGGAACUGAGACACGGUCCAGACUCCUACGGGAGGCAGCAGUGGGGAAUAUUGCACAAUGGGGGAAACCCUGAUGCAGCCAUGCCGCGUGUGUGAAGAAGGCCUUCGGGUUGUAAAGCACUUUCAGCGAGGAGGAAAGGUCAGUAGCUAAUAUCUGCUGACUGUGACGUUACUCGCAGAAGAAGCACCGGCUAACUCCGUGCCAGCAGCCGCGGUAAUACGGAGGGUGCAAGCGUUAAUCGGAAUUACUGGGCGUAAAGCGCACGCAGGCGGUUGGAUAAGUUAGAUGUGAAAGCCCCGGGCUCAACCUGGGAAUUGCAUUUAAAACUGUCCAGCUAGAGUCUUGUAGAGGGGGUAGAAUUCCAGGUGUAACCGGUGAAAUGCCGUAAAAAGAUUCUGGAAGGAAUUACCGGUGGGCGAAAGGCGGGCCCCUUGGACAAAAGACUUGACCCUCAGGUGCCGAAAACCUGGGGGAGCCAAACCGGAAUUAAAUUCCCUGGUAAUCCCCCCCCCUAAAACGAUGUCCAUUUUGAAGCUGUGUCCCUUAAAACUGGCUUUCCGAACUAACCCGUUUAAUCACCCCCUGGGGAAUACGGCCCCAGGGUUAAACUCAAUUAAUUACGGGGCCCCCAAAACGGGGGACUGGGGUUAUUUAUGCACCGGAAAACUUCCGGGCUUAAUUUUGGAACUUCAAAAACCGGAUGCUUCGGAAAAAAAAAGGCUGCUGGGGUCCCCCCUUCGGGGAAUUGGUAAACCAAAAGCACCCCUCUUUUUCCCCCAUUGGGAACAGGGAUCCGGUAACCAGAAGGGGAAUAAUUGGCUUUCCGGUCCCCUCUUGGGAAAGGGGUUCAUUGGAACAAACCACCGUGGUGGCCCCCCACAACGAUCAAAAAUGGAUCGCUCCCCCCCCCGGGGAAAAUCUAGUUCCUUGGACCUUGUUAGAAAAANNNNNGUUGUNUAAUAACUUCAAUGGUGUAUNAUGGGGAAUUUUCCCUCUACCCCUUCCC
rnacentral:rRNA from 1 species